AGCUUUUUUAAAAGUACUCGGGUAAUCUUAAAGUUGAUGAUUGCGUUAGAGACCAGCUUUAUUGAAAGAUAACCAAAAAAGACAACACAUGUACUAGAUACAAAAAGACAACGAAUUCAUAAACAAAUCAAGAUCCAUUUUUGUUUUUGGGUAAUUCAGUCUGGUCGAUAGACCCUUACCUAUUUUUUUUUGUUAUUAGUUUGCUUUUCUAAAAGUACAAAUGAGGUGGUGUUAGUAAUGAGAAUGAAAACCACAUUAAGAUGUGCGGUGGUACCACUACGUACGUAUCCCUUUCUCAUUUCAAGAUCCAGCUUUGCCAUGUGGUUUCAAAACUUUAUAUAAGACAUCAGCUGCCACCAAAAACAACAAAAAAAAAAAAAAUUAAGGGCUUGAGAGAGAGUGAGAAAUAGAGGAAAUGGAUGGAGUAGUGAGCAAGAAAAGAGGGGAGAGGUGGUCUCUGCGUCACUUGACUGCUUUGGUUACUGGCGGUACCAGAGGAAUUGGGUAUAUUAAAGGUAUGAAAGGAUACCGGUUCUGGGAUCCAAAUGUUCGAAAUAUAAUUACAAGCCAAAAUGUGCAUUUGAUGAGUCAUCCAUGUUGACAAGAGGUGUAGGAAAUGAGACUAAAGAAAAGAAAGAAUAAUGACACCCACGAAAUUGAUGUUCCAUCUUAUGCCCCAUCAUCUAGUGAGGGCCAUAUACCUGAAACACCCACAAGUAUCAAUGAAGAAGUCAUUGAUGAAGAAGAGCAAGUUGGUGAACAUUUCCAUGAAAAAGUUGCAACAUCCAUGACGAGAAGAUCUGCAAAGAAGGAUAAAGUUAGGAUUGAGGAGCUUAAGGCAUCUUUGAGCAAGAGUUCUGAAAUGAAAGAUCUCGGGCUAGCAAAACAAAUUCAAGGAAUUGGAAUCUAAAGAGAUCGACGAAGGGAGACUUUGUCACUUUAACAAAAGAGCUUUGUAGAAAAUAUGCUAAAUAAGUAUGGCAAGAGCAAGACAAACCCGGCGCAGAUACCUCUAGCUCCUCAUUUCAAGUUGUCCUCCAAGCAAAUUCUCAAGACUGUGGACGAAAAAAAGAAUAUGGCUAAAGUGCCAUAUGCAAGUGUUGUAGGAAACCUAAUGUUUGCCAUGGUGUACACUAGACAUAAAAAAACACAUUACAAAUAAACUUCUUAUUUUUUUGUAUUUUUUAACAAUUUUUUUGAAAAUUUUUAAGAUCUCGAGUUUGACCACCGAAAUCGGGCUUUAUUGGAUCCGAGUAACUUAUCGUUUUUGCAAACUUUGGUAUGUGUAUUUGGACAAUCUAUUAGUCGUAUCAAAUAAAUAACUAUUCUAACUUUUAUAGUCUUUAUCAGCUCUUGAGAGAGCGUUAUCUUAAACAAUCAUCCCACUUAAAAAAGGGUGUGGUUUAUAUAAUAAGACUGAGGCCUAAAUGUCAAAGUAGGGCGCACCUUCAAAUGAUAUAAAA